UCAUCCCCUUAUGAUUUGGGCUACACACGUGCUACAAUGGACAAUACAAUGGGCAGCGAAACCGCGAGUCAAGCAAAUCCCAUAAAGUUGUUCUCAGUUCGGAUUGUAAGUAUGCAACUCGUCUAUAUGAAGCUGGAAUCGCUAGUAAUCGUAGAUCAGCAUGCUACGGUGAAUACGUUCCCGGGUCUUGUACACACCGCCCGUCACACCACGAGAGUUUGUAACACCCGAAGCCGGUGGAGUAACCAUUUGGAGCUAGCCGUCGAAGGUAGGGACAAAUGAUUGGGGUGAAGUCGUAACAAGGUAGCCGUAUCGGAA
rnacentral:rRNA from 1 species